rnacentral:rRNA from 1 species
CCUACGGGUGGCAGCAGUGAGGAAUAUUGGUCAAUGGACGAGCGUCUGAACCAGCCAAGUAGCGUGAAGGAUGACUGCCCUAUGGGUUGUAAACUUCUUUUAUAUGGGAAUAAAAUGUUCCACGUGUGGGAUUUUGUAUGUACCAUAUGAAUAAGGAUCGGCUAACUCCGUGCCAGCAGCCGCGGUAAUACGGAGGAUCCGAGCGUUAUCCGGAUUUAUUGGGUUUAAAGGGAGCGUAGGUGGAUUGUUAAGUCAGUUGUGAAAGUUUGCGGCUCAACCGUAAAAUUGCAGUUGAAACUGGCAGUCUUGAGUACAGUAGAGGUGUGCGGAAUGCGUGGUGUAGCGGUGAAAUGCUUAGAUAUCACGAAGAACUCCGAUUGCGAAGGCAGUUCACUGGACUGCAACUGACACUGAGGCUCGAAAGUGUGGGUAUCAAACAGGAUUAGAUACCCGGGUAGUC